AACUUUCACUUCUAUUUCUCAAAAUUCCCAAAUUUCCCCCUCCGAUUCCCCAUUUCCGGCGACUCCCGCUGCGUGCUCCCCUCCGGCGACUCGUCCACGCCGCCGUUUCCACCGCGCCCCUGCUCGCCCCGCCUCGCUCCGCCGCCGCCCUAAGCCGAGCCUCGCCCCGCCCCGCGCCGCUCCCCCCCUGCGCUGCUGCCCGCCCCGCCCUGCGCCGCUGCCCGCCCCACGCCGCGCCGCUGCUCGCCCCGCCCCUCCCUGGCGCCGUGUCCUCUGCUGCCAGCGCCGGAUUCCUCCGCCGCCACCGGUCCUCCUCCUCCGCGGCCACCGGUCCUCUUCCUCCGCUGCCUGCGUCUGUCGGAUU
rnacentral:lncRNA from 1 species